UACGUAGGGUGCAAGCGUUGUCCGGAAUUAUUGGGCGUAAAGGGCUCGUAGGCGGUCUGUCACGUCGGGAGUGAAACUCAGGGCUUAACCCUGAGCCUGCUUCCGAUACGGGCAGACUAGAGGUAUGCAGGGGAGAACGGAAUUCCUGGUGUAGCGGUGAAAUGCGCAGAUAUCAGGAGGAACACCGGUGGCGAAGGCGGUUCUCUGGGCAUGUCCUGACGCUGAGGAGCGAAAGUGUGGGGAGCGAACAGGA
rnacentral:rRNA from 1 species